rnacentral:rRNA from 1 species
CCCUUAGAUGUUCUGGGCCGCACGCGCGCUACACUGACGAAUGCAACGAGCUUAUAACCUUGGCCGAAAGGUCUGGGUAAUCUCCAAAUUUCGUCGUGAUGGGGAUAGAUUAUUGCAAUUAUUAAUCUUCAACGAGGAAUGCCUAGUAAGCGCAAGUCAUCAGCUUGCGUUGAUUACGUCCCUGCCCUUUGUACACACCGCCCGUCGCUCCUACCGAUUGAAUGGUCCGGUGAAGCGUUCGGACCGUGGCCUUUGGACGGUUCGCCGUCUGUUGGCUGCGGGAAGUUCGUUAAACCUUAUCAUUUGGAGGAAGGAGAAGUCGUAACA